rnacentral:rRNA from 2 species
AAGUCGAGCGGUAACAGGGGUAGCUUGCUACCCGCUGACGAGCGGCGGACGGGUGAGUAAUGCUUAGGAAUCUGCCCAGUAGUGGGGGAUAGCCCGGGGAAACCCGGAUUAAUACCGCAUACGUCCUACGGGAGAAAGCAGGGGAUCUUCGGACCUUGCGCUAUUGGAUGAGCCUAAGUCGGAUUAGCUAGUUGGUGGGGUAAAGGCCUACCAAGGCGACGAUCCGUAGCUGGUCUGAGAGGAUGAUCAGCCACAUCGGGACUGAGACACGGCCCGAACUCCUACGGGAGGCAGCAGUGGGGAAUAUUGGACAAUGGGGGCAACCCUGAUCCAGCCAUGCCGCGUGUGUGAAGAAGGCUUUCGGGUUGUAAAGCACUUUCAGUAGGGAGGAAAACCUUAUGGUUAAUACCCAUGAGGCUUGACGUUACCUACAGAAGAAGCACCGGCUAACUCCGUGCCAGCAGCCGCGGUAAUACGGAGGGUGCAAGCGUUAAUCGGAAUUACUGGGCGUAAAGCGCGCGUAGGUGGUUUGGUAAGCGAGAUGUGAAAGCCCCGGGCUUAACCUGGGAACGGCAUUUCGAACUGUCAGACUAGAGUGUGGUAGAGGGUAGUGGAAUUUCCUGUGUAGCGGUGAAAUGCGUAGAUAUAGGAAGGAACACCAGUGGCGAAGGCGGCUACCUGGACCAACACUGACACUGA